rnacentral:rRNA from 1 species
GGAGAGUGCUUUCAUUAGAGAGAACCUGGAGACAGUGCUGCAUGGCUGUCGUCAGCUCGUGUCGUGAGAUGUUGGGUUAAGUCCCGCAACGAGCGCAACCCUUGCCUUUAGUUGCCAGCAGUUCGGCUGGGCACUCUAGCGAGACUGCCGGUAAUAAACCGGAGGAAGGUGGGAUGACGUCAAAUCAUCAUGCCCCUUAUGACCUGGGCUACACACGUGCUACAAUGGUUGGUACAACGAGUUGCGAGUCGGUGACGGCGAGCUAAUCUCUUAAAGCCAAUCUCAGUUCGGAUUGUAGGCUGCAACUCGCCUACAUGAAGUCGGAAUCGCUAGUAAUCGCGGAUCAGCACACCGCGGUGAAUACGUUCCCGGGCCUU